rnacentral:rRNA from 1 species
GAUGAACGCUGGCGGCGUGCCUAAUACAUGCAAGUCGAGCGAACAGACGAGGUGCUUGCUCCUCUGACGUUAGCGGCGGACGGGUGAGUAACACGUGGAUAACCUACCUAUAAGACUGGGAUAACUUCGGGAAACCGGAGCUAAUACCGGAUAAUAUAUUGAACCGCAUGGUUCAAUAGUGAAAGACGGUUUUGCUGUCACUUAUAGAUGGAUCCGCGCCGCAUUAGCUAGUUGGUAAGGUAACGGCUUACCAAGGCAACGAUGCGUAGCCGACCUGAGAGGGUGAUCAGCCACACUGGAACUGAGACACGGUCCAGACUCCUACGGGAGGCAGCAGUAGGGAAUCUUCCGCAAUGGGCGAAAGCCUGACGGAGCAACGCCGCGUGAGUGAUGAAGGUCUUCGGAUCGUAAAACUCUGUUAUUAGGGAAGAACAAAUGUGUAAGUAACUAUGCACGUCUUGACGGUACCUAAUCAGAAAGCCACGGCUAACUACGUG